ACAAAGAUAUUUUCUCUGGAAAAGUUGUAUGAGGAAAAAAAAGUUUUCUCUGGGCGGAUGAAACGAUUUUCUGAAGAGCGAGAGAGAAGUCAGAAAUUCAUUAAAAGGUAUUAAAGACAUUAAAGCACAUACUUAGAGAUUAGCGAGAUACUAUGUCUAGUUAUUCCACAAGCUUAUGCUCUUUUCUCUAUAGGAAUUCCUUCUUGUGAACACGGUCAUAUACUUUCUUUCAGAUAUUAAAGACUCCAGAAAGAUGUCUUCUCAACAUCAGCAGUGCAAGCAGCCCUGCCAGCCAACACCAGUGUGCCCACCUAAGUGCCCUGACCCUUGCCCACCUGGCAAGUGUCCGGAACCUUGCCCACCUAUAAAGUGCCCUGACCCAUGCCUGGUUCAGCAGUGCAAGCAGAAAUGCCCUCCUGGGCCACCUGCCCAUCAUUGCUAGCAGAAGUGCCCACCCAAGUGCAUGUAAGAGCUUGAGCUUUUAUCUGCAUCUGGAAAGGAUAAGGACAAUCGGCUCAACUAGUUCCAGAGCUCCACCUUCAUCUUCUCUUCAAAGCUUAUCAUGGAUACGGAAGAAGCUUCUCCGCCCUUCAGCCUCAAUAUGCGUGGGGGUGAUUCCUGACAGACGGAGGUUUCCUCUCGGAGGCUGCUGUACUGCUUCCUUCUGGGAGGUGCCCGAGAAAGCAUCCCAGAGCCUCAGAAGGAAGAGCAGCAGCUCUCCUCCUGGGCGCCCUCUGAGGAUUCUCUCGCUGUCUUCUGUGUCGGUCGCUCACCUGGGCAUGGGUUUCUACCAGCUGAGCAAUUGUUACUUAUCCUCCACUUCUUGAAUAAAAUACAAUUCUUCUGCGUGAUGGGAAAAACAUUUUCUUUCUUUUAAAACCUGCGUUCAGCAAUAUCAUAUCAUAAUUUUGCUUGAUUUCUAUCCUUCUUUGAUCCCGAGUUUCAGGCUCUCACAGUCAGUGUUAUCUGAAUUCUGAGUCGUAUCAAUGAUUAUUCUUAUACAGUUUCAAAUCCAGUUUAUUUUCCUAAUUACAGCUUGAUUGAUUUGAGGAACAAAUCAUUUAACAUCUUGUGAUUUCAAACCCUUGAAUAAACUGUGGGGGAAAUCACAUUUACAGUGCCAACUUGCUUAGGCAUAAAAAUUCCAUGAACGUGUGUCAUUCCGUUGGCACAAUGCCGGGCACACAAUUGCCAUUUGAGAGGUGACUGAUCAUCAUUGUCCCUGUCAUCAUCACCGUCACCACCAUCAGCACCGUCACCACCACGCCCAGGUGCUCCUAGCAGGGGACUGGCUCAGACAUACCUAGUAGAGCAAGCAAGGAGAUCCUUAAACUCUAUUACCCGUUCAUAUUCUGUGUUCUUUUUCUUUUCCAAUUUAAGCGAAUUUUUAAUAUGACACCACAGAAUAACGAGUUUGGGAAAUUUGGGGGAGACUCUGCCUAAAAGUAUAAUCAUUCUGAAAACAUGGGUAGUACCAAAGAAAGGAAGUGUAAAGGGACCUUACCAGACAAAGUGCUGCCUGCUCUCCAUGUGCACAGCGCGCGCUUCUUAUGGCAAAGCUCAACUACCUCAGGGUCUUAUUAUAUUUUUUGCCCUCGGAAAUUACAUUCUUGAUUAUUUUGACCCCACUUUUGAGGUACACUGGGGAUUCCAAUGUUUAUCUUGAUUUACAAAAUGACUGCUGCUAUGCAGCUUGUUUUCCAAGUGCUUAGCUUACUGGUCCAGUAAGCUGUGAAAAGGGAUGUGUUCAUUAAGCAUAUCUCUCCUUGUGGUUAGAGGUAAAAGAGUCAAAGAUGCCAGAACUGCAGAAGCAAAAAGAUGCCCAUGUUACUGCCCAACGUUCACCACACUAUGACAUGAGUGAAAAAUCAACACUGAUAUUUGGGACUUGUCUCUACUGUAGCCACUGUCAUUUGACCUGACAUAGAAAUUAGUUCUUUGAGGUGGCAUGCUCCUGUAACAAAUCUUAAAAUUGUGGCAUUGGUCUAUGUGUCUGGAGGUGGUUGGAAAGGAAUCUGAUAUUGGAGGCUGUAAAUGUGGUGCGACAUCUAAUCCAAUGGCAAAAUGUUUGCAGUAAUGGUUGUCCAUUGUAUCUUUAGUGGCAGACCAAAGGUUGGUCAUUUGUUGAUAUGCCCAGGGUAUUUCAGUGGAUGUAUGUACAGGAAAAACUUUCUUGUUGACAGGCCAGAAAUGAAAACAAUGAAAAGGAAAAUAAUACCGCCCAGAAAUUCAAAACCGUGUUGAAUUAGAAAACUCACGGCUUGUAAGCCCUAAAGAGUAAGAGAAGAGAUUAGAAGUGCUUUUCAACUAGAAGUCAAAUUUCAGUUGACUGUUACAACAGAGAAAAGAGACAGAAGGUGUCGUCUUUCUACCUGUGUGCCAGGGAGCCUCAUGGUAGCUGUAAUAUGUUAGGGGGAAAGGCAGUAAUUUCAUCAGGCCAGAAAAUUACUUCUACGAAGGACCUUACUGAGAUCCGUAGGACAUAGAAAUGAUUGGAGGACUGAAUUAGAUCAGGUGCCUAAUAAGUUUUUGAGGCUAUUGAGAACUAAAUAAACUAUGCGCCAAAACAAAAAAGAAUGAUUUUCAAGAUCACUAACGACUUUUCAGCCCACAUUUCCCCACUUUCCACCCUACCCAAAUCAGAUAUUGUCAGUACAGGUGACUAAAAGGGAAUAUCCAUUCUGAGAUGGGUACAAGGCCCCCAGAGAAUAAUGGAUAAAGGAAGCUCUCUCAGAGAAUAGUAUCAGAUCCUAAGAGAGCCCAGGAGGAGAAGGAACACAGAAACGCUCAAACAUUGUUACUCUGUUGUAUGAUGGUUAUUCUCUCAUGCUUUCCCUCUGGGUUUAUUGAGCUAUAAUUGACAAAUGAAAUGGUACAUAUUUACGGUGUAUAAUGGGAUGAUUUGACAUAUGUGCACUUUGUGCAGUGAUGACCACCAUCGGUCACUUAGUACAUUAAUCACUUCAUCAGCAACAAUGUAAUAUCUGUAUAUCUCUCUCUCUCUCUCUCUCUCUGUGUGUGUGUGUGUGUGUGUGUGUGUGUGUGUGAUGAGAAUGCUUACAGUCUAACUUCUCAGCAAGAUUCAAGUACACAACUGAGUGUUUUUAGCUAGAUGACCAUGCUGUACUGUAGAUUCUGAGAACUCAUUUAUUGUAUGAUUGCCGGCUUGUACCCUUGGCCCAACAUCGCCACUUUUGCCCGACCCCUUACUCCCUGCUGACCACCAUUCUACUCUCUGUUUCUGUGACACCUGUGAGUUUGGAAACACAUUCCUAAAUAAACAAUGGUGCGAAGAAGAAAUAACGAAUAAAUAGAAAAUACCUGGAGAUGAAUGAAAACGAAAACAUACAAGAACUUUCGGGAUAAAUGUAAUGGAGCACAAAGAGAGCAACCUAUGGCUGGAGAUAUCUGUAUUACAUAAGAUGAUCUCAAAUCAGUAACUUGAUAGACAAGUAUGCAUGUUUGUGGGUUUAUGAAAAUUGAAAACUCGUAACAUUAAUAGAGCAAAAUAUAAGCAGUGAUUAUUUGGGGCCGUUUAAUAGACAUGCUCAUUUUUUAACAGUUUUAUGUUUUCCCCAUUAUAUAUUAAAUGAUAUAGCUUCAUUUUUGUAACAAUGUAUCAUAUUAUUUAAAAAAUAUAUAGUAGCCAGUGAAGAUGUGGCUGAGCUGCAGGGAACGUUUACAUCCUGGCCUACUGGCACAUGCCCAGUUGACGACUCUUUCACAGGUUUCAAGUGUCUCCUCUUUCUCUUCCUCUCCUCCUCAUUCCCCUCUUCUUCCUGCUGUCCCAUUAUAAAACCCCAUUCCUAAGAAGCUUCCUGAUUCUUUGGUCAAGACAAAUUACUAGGCCAGUUCUUCCUUCUGACUGCAGGAAGAAUUAUGAAAGAUAUGAAAGGACUAUUACUAAAUGCAUGGGCGAUAUGUCAAAGUAACAAAUUGGACGGUUAAGGGGUAGGUAAUGGCAGUGAAGGUAAUAUGGCAGGUUGAGGGUUCUGGAACGCGAAGAGGAAGCCAGAGAAUAAACAGUGAAAAACAUUUUCAAAUUACUGUCUUCAAACACCUAAAACAUCGUUGGAAUGAGUGGAACAAAGAAAAUGUAUCAGAUGUGCCCUAAGUUCACAUUUCAUCUAGAUGUCAGACCUUUAGUGCUUUGCUUCUCUCUCCCCUCCCAACGUCACUCUGAAUCAUUUAUAGGGGACGCUGUGGGUCUUAAAUGGUAUCUUAUAUCUAGUUUUGGUUUCACACAACUGAAACCUGGUAUUUACUUAUAGAAUACAAGAGAUUUAUUUCCUGAUAAAGGAAUUUUAAGCACUCGACCGCGGUCUAGGGAAGAGUUUGCAUCAGGUGAGAUGGGACAUCCUGAUUGCAUUAAACAUGUGUUCCCACAUUCUACAGUAUCAUAAAGCGAGAUUUGCAACGCUUUUCCUAAACCAGACAGGGGCCUUCACCAACCAUGAGCCAUCACAAAACUCUUCAGUGUCCAAGGGGACAGCAUAGCAAACAAUAGUGUUCGUGUCCGGGAUAGAAGGGAGGAACUGUAGAAAAACUGCUGACAGCGAAAUCACUGAAACGUCAGAACUGAAAUCUUUGGAGGACAUGCUAAGGAACUGGCUCCUGAACUUCAGUUAUUUGCUAAAAGCUCAUUAUAUUUGUCAUAAUUCCACACCCCAUGUGUCACAUUACAUUCAUAUGUUUGGCUUUAACUUCACUUCCCAAUAAUCUUGAACAUUUUUAUUUUAAUUGGCCGUAGGUAAUCAUGUACAUGACUUGACAGAUGAAAUAUUCAAAUUAUAUAUUGCAAUAUGUAUGUACUUAUAUACAUACAGAAAUAUGUUACAGAAAGAGGGACAAGGACAGAGAGAGAGAGAGAUUAAAAUGUCUGGAACACGCAAGUUCUGCAGAGUUGAAGCUCUGCUGGAAGUCCAUCUGACAGGGGAAUACUCUUUUACCUGAGGGAGCGUCAGCCUUGUUCUCUUCAGGCCAUCAGUGGAUUGGAUGAGAACUUCCCACAUUAUAGCGGGCAACCACCUUAACUCAGGCAACUGAUUUCAAUAAUACUCUCAUCCAAAAUCAUCCUUACAGAAACCCACAGAAUAACGUUUGACCAGAAAACUGGGGACCUGUGCCAGUGAAUCUGACCCACAAAUUAACCAUCAAACCUUUCUUCCAGCACAUUGACAAAUUAUAUGAAGAAAGUAGAGCAGGAAAUAGGUUUAUUUGACAUAAGCUCCACCGUGAGCAAAAUGGAAAAGGCAAAGAAACACGUUCAAAAUAUAACACAAUUAUGAUUAAUGAUUAAGAAGUUGUAUAUGAAUGGCAAUGAACUUCAGUGACUGCAUUUUUGAUAAAGUGAUUUCAACUUUCUCUUGAAUUUAUCCCUAGAUUUGAUGUGAAACAACAUGUGUUUAAAUAAUUCGUAAGUAUUAAACACACGCAAAAUUAGCUGUGUGAAUGGAACUGCAUAAUAGAUUGGGUUUCCCAAUAAUUUCAAAGCGACGGGAAGCCAGAAAAUUUGAACAAUCCUCCGAGAUUUCUUCAAAAAUGGAAGACAUCCAAAGAGGUCAGUUGGGAGAAACUAAAUUGGAGCAUGUGUUAUGUCACAUUUCGGACGUAUGAGCCAAAAGCUUCAUUUCUGUUGUAAAUCUAGGGUCUGAGCUGCCAGCUCAUCUGAAUUAUGGUAGGGGAUGCUACGUGCCUAGUGAAUUCCUUGUGGCAGGAAGUAAAACAGGUUAAUAAAGGUCACAGGAAUCUGACUGCUGGAUGUUCUUUAUUUGAAGGAGCAAACAGUAAAAGGAGGACCGUAGGGGUCAACACUUUACUACACGUUUCUAAGUCGCAUGAUAGGAAAUCAUAUUAGAUGAUCUGCAAAUUUCCCUCAGUCCAUUUUCGAAGAUGAAAGGAGACUUUGUCCAGCAAGCCAUGAAUCAAGGGGAGAUGAACUGUAAGAAAGACUUGAGGUAAAGAGACAUGUGUCACCAGGUAGCGAGGCCCUUUUCAAACCAGUAUGUACGAAAAAAUUGCCACCAGGUCAAGGGCAGCUAGGCAGGUAGUUUUAGAAGUCAAGGAUGGUGAAAGAUAGAAAAGGGUCAUCCUCCCCAGUGAAGGAAGGGAGAGUUUGACUACAAGUUAGAGAACACUCCAAGUGCUCCCACGGCCAUAAACCACUGAAACGGGGAGCUAAGGCAGGGACUAUGUGAGCCAUGAGAACAGAAUCCAGUGAGGAGAUCCUGGAACAGGAUAUUUCCUGUUUUCAGAGUCCCUGCCAAGCCAGUUAUGGAUGGAUUUGCAUUUGGGUUGGGAAAUGAUUGGACCAGGUCAGUUCUGGUAGCUCUGCUUCCCCCUGGGUGGGGCAGCAAGCCCCAAUAAAAAGGUCCUCUGCUGCACGACGGCUAUCCUCCUGCUCCUCGACUUCCGAUUGACUUUGGAGAAUCUGAUUUGAUGUGAAACAACAUGUGUUUAAAUAAUUCGUAAGUAUUAAACACACGCAAAAUUAGCUGUGUGAAUGGAACUGCAUAAUAGAUUGGGUUUCCCAAUAAUUUCAAAGCGACGGGAAGCCAGAAAAUUUGAACAAUCCUCCGAGAUUUCUUCAAAAAUGGAAGACAUCCAAAGAGGUCAGUUGGGAGAAACUAAAUUGGAGCAUGUGUUAUGUCACAUUUCGGACGUAUGAGCAAAAAGCUUCAUUUCUGUUGUAAAUCUAGGGUCUGAGCUGCCAGCUCAUCUGAAUUAUGGUAGGGGAUGCUACGUGCCUAGUGAAUUCCUUGUGGCAGGAAGUAAAACAGGUUAAUAAAGGUCACAGGAAUCUGACUGCUGGAUGUUCUUUAUUUGAAGGAGCAAACAGUAAAAGGAGGACCGUAGGGGUCAACACUUUACUACACGUUUCUAAGUCGCAUGAUAGGAAAUCAUAUUAGAUGAUCUGCAAAUUUCCCUCAGGCCAUUUUCGAAGAUGAAAGGAGACUUUGUCCAGCAAGCCAUGAAUCAAGGGGAGAUGAACUGUAAGAAAGACUUGAGGUAAAGAGACAUGUGUCACCAGGUAGCGAGGCCCUUUUCAAACCAGUAUGUACGAAAAAAUUGCCACCAGGUCAAGGGCAACUAGGCAGGUAGUUUUAGAAGUCAAGGAUGGUGAAAGAUAGAAAAGGGUCAUCCUCCCCAGUGAAGGAAGGGAGAGUUUGACUACAAGUUAGAGAACACUCCAAGUGCUCCCACGGCCAUAAACCACUGAAACGGGGAGCUAAGGCAGGGACUAUGUGAGCCAUGAGAACAGAAUCCAGUGAGGAGAUCCUGGAACAGGAUAUUUCCUGGUUUCAGAGUCCCUGCCAAGCCAGUUAUGGAUGGAUUUGCAUUUGGGUUGGGAAAUGAUUGGACCAGUUCAGUUCUGGUAGCUCCGCUUCCCCCUGGGUGGGGCAGCAAGCCCCAAUAAAAAGGUCCUCUGCUGCACGACGGCUAUCCUCCUGCUCCUCGACUUCCGAUUGACUUUGGAGAAUCUGGAAUUCCUUCUUGUGAACACGGUCAUAUACUUUCUUUCAGAUAUUAAAGACUCCAGAAAGAUGUCUUCUCAACAUCAGCAGUGCAAGCAGCCCUGCCAGCCAACACCAGUGUGCCCACCUAAGUGCCCUGACCCUUGCCCACCUGGCAAGUGUCCGGAACCUUGCCCACCUAUAAAGUGCCCUGACCCAUGCCUGGUUCAGCAGUGCAAGCAGAAAUGCCCUCCUGGGCCCCCUGCCCAUCAUUGCUAGCAGAAGUGCCCACCCAAGUGCAUGUAAGAGCUUGAGCUUUUAUCUGCAUCUGGAAAGGAUAAGGACAAUCGGCUCAACUAGUUCCAGAGCUCCACCUUCAUCUUCUCUUCAAAGCUUAUCAUGGAUACGGAAGAAGCUUCUCCGCCCUUCAGCCUCAAUAUGCGUGUGGUGAUUCCUGACAGACGGAGGUUUCCUAUCUGAGGCUGCUAUACUGCUUCCUUCUGGGAGGUGCCCGAGAAAGCAUCCCAGAGCCUCAGAAGGAAGAGCAGCAGCUCUCCUCCUGGGCGCCCUCUGAGGAUUCUCUCGCUGUCUUCUGUGUCGGUCGCUCACCUGGGCAUGGGUUUCUACCAGCUGAGCAUUUGUUACUUAUCCUCCACUUCUUGAAUAAAAUACAAUUCUUCUGCGUGAUGGGAAAAA